rnacentral:rRNA from 1 species
GACGAACGCUGGCGGCGUGCCUAAUACAUGCAAGUUGAGCGCUGAAGGUUGGUACUUGUACCGACUGGAUGAGCAGCGAACGGGUGAGUAACGCGUGGGGAAUCUGCCUUUGAGCGGGGGACAACAUUUGGAAACGAAUGCUAAUACCGCAUAAAAACUUUAAACACAAGUUUUAAGUUUGAAAGAUGCAAUUGCAUCACUCAAAGAUGAUCCCGCGUUGUAUUAGCUAGUUGGUGAGGUAAAGGCUCACCAAGGCGAAGAUACAUAGCCGACCUGAGAGGGUGGUCGACCAACACGGGACUGGGACACGGCCCAAGACCCUACGGGGGGCAGCAGGAGGGGAUCUUCGGCAAUGGAGGAAAGGCUGAACGAGCAAAGCCGCGGGAGGGGAGAAGGGUUUCGGAUCGUAAAACUCUGUUGGUAGAGAAGAAAGUUGGUGAGAGUGGAAAGCUCAUGAAGUGACGGUAACUACACAGAAAGGGACGGCUAACUACGUG